rnacentral:rRNA from 1 species
UGUGAGCUCGAUGAGUAGGGCGGGACACGUGGUAUCCUGUCUGAAUAUGGGGGGACCAUCCUCCAAGGCUAAAUACUCCUGACUGACCGAUAGUGAACCAGUACCGUGAGGGAAAGGCGAAAAGAACCCCGGCGAGGGGAGUGAAAAAGAACCUGAAACCGUGUACGUACAAGCAGUGGGAGCCUCUUUUAUGGGGUGACUGCGUACCUUUUGUAUAAUGGGUCAGCGACUUAUAUUCUGUAGCAAGGUUAACCGAAUAGGGGAGCCGAAGGGAAACCGAGUCUUAACUGGGCGUUAAGUUGCAGGGUAUAGACCCGAAACCCGGUGAUCUAGCCAUGGGCAGGUUGAAGGUUGGGUAACACUAACUGGAGGACCGAACCGACUAAUGUUGAAAAAUUAGCGGAUGACUUGUGGCUGGGGGUGAAAGGCCAAUCAAACCGGGAGAUAGCUGGUUCUCCCCGAAAGCUAUUUAGGUAGCGCCUCGUGAAUUCAUCUCCGGGGGUAGAGCACUGUUUCGGCAAGGGGGUCAUCCCGACUUACCAACCCGAUGCAAACUGCGAAUACCGGAGAAUGUUAUCACGGGAGACACACGGCGGGUGCUAACGUCCGUCGUGAAGAGGGAAACAACCCAGACCGCCAGCUAAGGUCCCAAAGUCAUGGUUAAGUGGGAAACGAUGUGGGAAGGCCCAGACAGCCAGGAUGUUGGCUUAGAAGCAGCCAUCAUUUAAAGAAAGCGUAAUAGCUCACUGGUCGAGUCGGCCUGCGCGGAAGAUGUAACGGGGCUAAACCAUGCACCGAAGCUGCGGCAGCGACACUAUGUGUUGUUGGGUAGGGGAGCGUUCUGUAAGCCUGUGAAGGUGUGCUGUGAGGCAUGCUGGAGGUAUCAGAAGUGCGAAUGCUGACAUAAGUAACGAUAAAGCGGGUGAAAAGCCCGCUCGCCGGAAGACCAAGGGUUCCUGUCCAACGUUAAUCGGGGCAGGGUGAGUCGACCCCUAAGGCGAGGCCGAAAGGCGUAGUCGAUGGGAAACAGGUUAAUAUUCCUGUACUUGGUGUUACUGCGAAGGGGGGACGGAGAAGGCUAUGUUGGCCGGGCGACGGUUGUCCCGGUUUAAGCGUGUAGGCUGGUUUUCCAGGCAAAUCCGGAAAAUCAAGGCUGAGGCGUGAUGACGAGGCACUACGGUGCUGAAGCAACAAAUGCCCUGCUUCCAGGAAAAGCCUCUAAGCAUCAGGUAACAUCAAAUCGUACCCCAAACCGACACAGGUGGUCAGGUAGAGAAUACCAAGGCGCUUGAGAGAACUCGGGUGAAGGAACUAGGCAAAAUGGUGCCGUAACUUCGGGAGAAGGCACGCUGAUAUGUAGGUGAAGUCCCUCGCGGAUGGAGCUGAAAUCAGUCGAAGAUACCAGCUGGCUGCAACUGUUUAUUAAAAACACAGCACUGUGCAAACACGAAAGUGGACGUAUACGGUGUGACGCCUGCCCGGUGCCGGAAGGUUAAUUGAUGGGGUCAGCGCAAGCGAAGCUCUUGAUCGAAGCCCCGGUAAACGGCGGCCGUAACUAUAACGGUCCUAAGGUAGCGAAAUUCCUUGUCGGGUAAGUUCCGACCUGCACGAAUGGCGUAAUGAUGGCCAGGCUGUCUCCACCCGAGACUCAGUGAAAUUGAACUCGCUGUGAAGAUGCAGUGUACCCGCGGCAAGACGGAAAGACCCCGUGAACCUUUACUAUAGCUUGACACUGAACAUUGAGCCUUGAUGUGUAGGAUAGGUGGGAGGCUUUGAAGUGUGGACGCCAGUCUGCAUGGAGCCGACCUUGAAAUACCACCCUUUAAUGUUUGAUGUUCUAACGUGGACCCGUGAUCCGGGUUGCGGACAGUGUCUGGUGGGUAGUUUGACUGGGGCGGUCUCCUCCUAAAGAGUAACGGAGGAGCACGAAGGUUGGCUAAUCCUGGUCGGACAUCAGGAGGUUAGUGCAAUGGCAUAAGCCAGCUUGACUGCGAGCGUGACGGCGCGAGCAGGUGCGAAAGCAGGUCAUAGUGAUCCGGUGGUUCUGAAUGGAAGGGCCAUCGCUCAACGGAUAAAAGGUACUCCGGGGAUAACAGGCUGAUACCGCCCAAGAGUUCAUAUCGACGGCGGUGUUUGGCACCUCGAUGUCGGCUCAUCACAUCCUGGGGCUGAAGUAGGUCCCAAGGGUAUGGCUGUUCGCCAUUUAAAGUGGUACGCGAGCUGGGUUUAGAACGUCGUGAGACAGUUCGGUCCCUAUCUGCCGUGGGCGCUGGAGAACUGAGGGGGGCUGCUCCUAGUACGAGAGGACCGGAGUGGACGCAUCACUGGUGUUCGGGUUGUCAUGCCAAUGGCACUGCCCGGUAGCUAAAUGCGGAAGAGAUAAGUGCUGAAAGCAUCUAAGCACGAAACUUGCCCCGAGAUGAGUUCUCCCUGACCCUUUAAGGGUCCUGAAGGAACGUUGAAGACGACGACGUUGAUAGGCCGGGUGUGUAAGCGCAGCGAUGCGUUGAGCUAACCGGUACUAAUGAACCGUGAGGCUUAACCUU